GCACUGGUGGUUCACUGAUACAAUGCUCGCCUACCACGCGGACGAUCCGGGUUCGACUCCCGGCCAAUGCU